GACGGAGGGUGCAAGCGUUGCUCGGAUUUACUGGGCGUAAAGGGCGCGUAGGCGGCUUGGUAAGUCUGAUGUGAAAGCCCACGACUCAAUCGUGGAAGUGCAUUGGAUACUGCUAGGCUAGAAUGCAGGAGAGGUGAGCGGAAUUCCAGGUGUAGAGGUGAAAUUCGUAGAUAUCUGGAGGAACAACGGUGGCGAAGGCGGCUCACUGGACUGAUAUUGACGCUGAGGCGCGAAAUUGUGGGGAGCAAACGGG
rnacentral:rRNA from 1 species